rnacentral:rRNA from 1 species
UACGUAGGGUGCAAGCGUUAAUCGGAAUUACUGGGCGUAAAGCGUGCGCAGGCGGUUUUGUAAGUCUGUCGUGAAAUCCCCGGGCUCAACCUGGGAAUGGCGAUGGAGACUGCAAGGCUAGAAUCUGGCAGAGGGGGGUAGAAUUCCACGUGUAGCAGUGAAAUGCGUAGAGAUGCGGAGGAACACCGAUGGCGAAGGCAGCCCCCUGGGCUAACACUGACGCUCAGGCACGAAAGCGUGGGGAGCAAACAGG